GCGCCUUCUCCACGCGCAUCGGGCACACCCAUAUCACUACCCAACAUCUGAUAGUGAGAUUAUCGCGGCUGGAGGCGACGCGCUUUCGCUCAGUAGGCGGCGUCAGUCCGGAGCGCUACGUCCUUCUGAGCUCACUUCCGUCGGCUUGGCUCGGAUCGCUCUUCUUCCAGGCUUCCACCGCUUUUGUUCCCCCAUUUCCACCCAGUCGGCGCUGCUGCAAACAGGGCUCCGGCCGGGACCGCCACACGCAGAGAGCAGCGGAGCCGCCUGACGCAGAAACGCCCGCUAGCCCCAUGCGAAGCGCCGUGUGCGCGGAGGAUACGCGGCGCUCCGUAGUUACAUAAGUGGACUACUUUUUUCUUUUAUUUUUGGCUUUUUUAUCACGCUGUUUUUAUUGCACUGAACUGACAUAACCCCCCCCCCGUCUAAACUCAAGAUGGAGAACGACGACAAAUACCUUCCCCAGCUGAUGGCAGAGAAGGACAGCCUGGACUCGUCUUUUACGCACGCGAUGAAACUUUUAAACGCAGAAAUUGACAGAAUCCAGAAAGGUGAGACUAAAAAGGAGGCAGAAACAUACCUGGAUCUUUUCAAUAACAGCAACAUCAAACUGAAGGAGCGAGUCCUCAUACCUGUCAAAAGGUACCCAAAGUUCAAUUUCGUGGGGAAGAUUCUGGGACCUCAGGGCAAUACGAUCAAACGUCUGCAGGAGGAGACCGGAGCCAAGAUCUCCGUGCUGGGCAAAGGCUCCAUGAGAGACAAAGCCAAGGAGGAGGGUCUGAGGAAAGGCGGCGAGCCCAAAUACGCCCACUUGUCCAUGGAGCUGCACGUGUUCAUCGAGGUGUUCGCCCCCGUGCCCGAGGCCUACCUGCGCAUGGCCCACGCCAUGGAGGAGGUCAAGAAGUUCCUGUGUCCGGACAUGAUGGAUGAUAUCUGCCAAGAGCAGUUCAUGGAGAUGAGCUACCUGAACGGAGGCCAGGAUCACGGGGCCCGGGGCCGAGGGGGGAUGCCGGUCAGGGGUCGUGGAGUCCCCCCUGCUGGAGCACACAGGGGAAGAGGCAUGCCUCCGCGCGGUGCAGCCGCCAGGGGGGGCGUGACCCGAGGCGGCCCAGCCGGAGGUGGCUCGGUGAGGGGCGCCCCGGCAGGUCGGGGAGGACCCCCUGCUGCUCCUUCCAGGGGAGCGGCGGCGCCCCGUGCCAGGCCCCCGGCUGCUGGCCCCCCCCAACGCAUGGCGCCCCCGCCCUCCCAUCAGCACACCCCUGCCGCGGCCACCGAGAGCUACGAUGAAUAUGGCUACGAUGAGAGCUACACAGACACAGCCUACGAGUCAUACGACAGCUAUUACAGUCAGCCGCAGGCAGAGCCGGAGUACUACGACUACGGACAUGGAGAGACCACAGAGUCGUACGAGUCAUACGGCCAAGACGACUGGAACGGGACCCAGCGCACGACGAAGGCCCCUCCCCCCUCCAGAGGCGCCAAGACGUCUUUCCGGCAGCACCCUUACCGACAGUACUGAAGCGGACUCGCCGCCCUUAACGUGUUGCCCUGAGUACCGCCUGUCUACCACGGCAGCUCUCGCUUUAAGCAGCCUCACAAAAGCUCGGCCAUCGGUCACCGAGGGUCCGGAGACUGACAGUCUGCUGGCGUGAGGCCGCCGGAACCUCAGUGAAGCCGCGCGCGGGAGAGCAGCUCGGCGUGAAUGGGAAGCGAGCGGACGGCGCUCCCCCUCGCGCACCCCCACCCGUGGAACAGGGAGAGGUGACGGGUGCCAGGGGACCCCCGGGGGCCGGCUGAGGUCGCAGGGAGGAGGACUGAGAGUGCAGCCGGUCCACGACAAGUGUACCGGAAUCAGAACCAGAAUCCCCACAGACUGACAAACGCCUCCCUCGCUCUCUCUCUCUCAUUUGGAUUAUGUUCUACAGUUUCUACGUCUCAUAUCAAUAUUGAAUUACUGUGUUCUUGUGUAAUUAUUUUCCACCAUUGAAUCCUCCCACAUGAAGCCUUUGCUGAUUGCACGCCGCUGCGCUCACUUUCUAUGGACCACCCCCUCUUUCAACAAAUACAGUCGUUACAGUGUAAUUCACCAUAAAAUGAACGCUUCCCGUUAUAGUCGGCUGUGAAAUUGUUUUUAAUUUCUGCUAACCCUUGAAUUAGACGCGAGGCAAGGCCCGUGUGACGUCUGCAUCUCGGACUCGCGCCGCGUAGCGUCCUUGCCGCGGUGCCGUGCGUGAAACCAGAGCCGGCGCUCGGGGAUUUAAGACGCCCGGGGAGCGCGGAUCGGUAUCUCCUGCCGCAGCCCGUGGCCCCGAGCUCGCGCGCAGACGCACCGCUCCGUCUGCGCAGCCCCGAGGAGGCAGAAUGCUAAUGCAGCAGCCGAUUUGCAUGUACUCGCAUGUAUCAUCCUCGCAAAUGUGCAACACUCUGGGAAGAGGGGGAGGAAAAAAAAAAACAAAAAAAAAAACGGCGCUGGCCCGUUUCAUCCGUUUCGGCAUCCAAGUAUGAUAAUUCGGUGCGAUGGAGCUGGGAGGGAAAGCUGCAUGUGAGAAAGAGGCAGAGGGUGAAGACAGACAUUACGAACUUCCCUCCAUCUAUUCAUCAUGUCGGCGCUGAUUUGAUUCCCCCACUUUGCCAUUUUCAGCCGUUACCGCUGAUGCUAUUACAGCUGCCCGUGGUGCCGAGUUACAUUCAGAGGUCAGAAUCGUACUUUGCCGUAUUAAAAACAAAUUUGCCUGUCCCGAUCCGGCGGUCAGACCCGGCAUCGGCCCAGUCGCUGGCUGCUUUUAGCUUAUUGAAAAGGCAAGCGGCUUAGAGGAGAAAGCAUUAUUUGAAAUGAAAUGUCAACGGCCGUAUCCAAAACAGAUCAUUUUUCAGGCCUUAUGUGCUAUUACGUCCAAAGUAAUGAUUUGUGUCCCCUGUAAUCUAAUGAAAGAUAUGUGAUGGGGCAGAAGCCAUCUCUGGUUGAAUCGAUGAACUGUCAGGAGCUUAAAGGUGGAAGAGGAAGUAAAUGCUACUGUGGAGUGAUCAAUAAAAGUGGGCUUGAACCUGA